rnacentral:lncRNA from 1 species
GGCGGUGGGGUUUGACAGAUGAUCAGAUUAUGUUGAUGUUCAGAUUGGAUCCCUUAUGUAUGAAGUCAUCGGAGAAGAAAAUAAUGAGUGUGAUGGAUUUUUUGGUUAAUAAGAUGGGUUGGGAACCUGCAGCUAUUGGUAGAUAUCCAACAGUCUUUUUGCGCAGUCUUGAGAAGAAGAUCAUUCCAUGGUGUUCAGUGGUGAAAGUUCUUCAAAUGAAGGGGUUGGUGAAGAAGGAUCUGUGUGUGAGUUUUUUAGGCUCUGGUGAGAAGAAUUUCUUCAAUAGGUUUGUGGUGAAAUAUGAGCAAGAUGUUCCUGAGCUUUUAAAUGUAUAUCAAGGAAAAAUUGGUAUUUUGGAACUUGGCCUCAUACCUGAGAGGAUAUGGGAGAAGAAACAAUUGUAGCACCUCAACUUUAUAAUUCGAAGUAAAUAUGCCUUUUGUCAUUUUUCCUAUUUGAAACUUGGUUUGCAGGCAUGUUAACUUCUCUUUGCUCUGUUUUUAAGUUGAUAAUAUAAACACCCAUAUCUCUGAACUCAACUAUUUACUGAUAUUGACUGAUUUGUAAUGUUUCUGUUAGUGUUACUGGAAUUUUAUCAGUAUGAUGCAACAAGCAAGUUUCUACAAUGAUGUGGUUCUACUUUCCUAAUCUUCGUGUUAUGUUUUUAAUUGACAUUAUUGUGAAUGUGGCAAUGAGCUAAUUAUCCUCUUUUGUUGCAUAAAACAGGUUGUUUAUAGUUAGAGGUAUUUUAUGGGAUGAAUACCUCAGGUAGUUUCUACAAUGAUGCUUUCUAAUUAUCAUCAUUGUUGCACUUUACUCAGGAUUUUUCUUAGAAUUGCAUUACUUUGUUUCUAGGUAAUUGGGAGGUGGAGGUGGUUGAAAGAUGAGGUUCCGUUUAGAAAGCAUCCUUCACAUGCGAGUUAUUAAAUAAGAACAUUGUCACUGGGAUGGUUUUGGGGAAAAAAAAAAUGGUUGGUAAGCAACUGGCAUUUCUGGAGUUUCAAUGGUUCUAUUUCAGCAAUAGGAUGGCCUUGAGUUGCUCGAUUAUUAAAGUUCUGCUGUGGAAGGGCUUUGUAAUGAAAACUUCUUGCUUAACUGCUAUACUAAUACCUGCUAAGAAUUAAUUCUUGCUCAGUUUGUGUUCAAAUAUUAGGAGCAUAUUCAAGUGAUUGUUGAGUCGAUGUCUGUCACGGGAUAAUAGGUUUCUGGAUGGAAACAAAACAAGUGAUUCAAGGUCCUCUAUGUAUAAUUGGAGGAUUCUAUGGGGAUAUCAUCCCUUCAUCAUAGCUCGUAUCUUCUCCUGAUUUGGGUACCAAGUACUUUGAUUGAUUAUUGUCAGAAUUCCCUUUGUUUUUAUAUUUACAAGGCAUUGCCUUGUGAUAACAUUUUUCUUCUGUUCUGUUGUUCCAGAGCCUGUGUUUAUCCAAUGCCCCUUGUUCAGUUCCUUCUCACAUGGAAACUGCUGCAACACCUUGGAUCUUCCCUGAUGGUUCUUCCAAAGCAGAAUUCACGGAAUGCAACAUGUUGGGCCUUCUACAGUGUGACCCCGGGAACCAGGAAAGUUCUCAUUGCCACAGAAUAAUGCUUUAGGAUGGAUCGACGUUUCUGUUUGAUGAGGAAUAUGAGGCACCUAACACCCAUAGGCAGAUGUUCAUCCUUUUCUAAUCGGAGAUAGUCUGCAAAUGUAUUUCUACAGAGGCAGGCAAAGCCCUUUGAACCCCAAGUUCUUACUUUGCCUGGAGGCCUUAAAAUAAGAGCGGUGUUGGGGUCUCUUGCUUAAAGUGGUUCUUCCUCAAGCAUUAUUAUAAUACCAUAACUGUUGGGUCCUGGAACUCUUUUGCUUUGCUUGUUUGUUUCAGUUCUUCUGUUCUUUUGAUGCCUGGUUCCUUUGGAAUCAAAUGGAGUCAUUCCUUUCCUUGGAUUCAAUGGUUCACUUGAAAUUUUAGAGCAAAGAAUGCAUGGUUCCACACAUUUUUGUAGGAAAAUCAUUCCCCUAAAUUUUUUACACUUACAUGUUGGUAUCUUCUCAUAAGAGAACAUAUUGCAUAUUUCAAUAUAGUAUCUAUGCCCUAAAAAAAAGUUCAUAUUACUUGUAUUAUAUUCAACUCUUUCUAAUUUAUAAAAAAUAUUAAGUUUUAGAAAAUUAAACUAUUAUAAAUUUUAUUUCGCUUCAAAUUUUUAUUUUAUGAUUGGAUGUAUUAAAAAAAUUAAAGGUAAGUUAUUCAAUUUAAAAGUAAAAAUAAAUCUAGCAAAUUGAAAAAUAAAACAUAGAAUUAUCCGUUUAACUAAACUUUAAAAGAAAAAAUAAUAAUAUUUUAAAUUUGCUUUUUAGAAAUAAAAAUAUUUUAUCAUAACUCUUAAAUAUUUUUUUAUACAUAAAAUACCCAAAAUACCCUCACCAUGCUCAUAUUCAAAACCCUAAUUCUAUUUCUUUAUUUUUCCUUCAAAAUCUUAUUUUAUUUUGUAUUUUUAUUUAAAUUAGGGUACAGAAAACACUUUUCCCCUUCUUUUUUCACUAGAAAGUGCAACAUUUGCUGGAGAGAUGAGGUUUUCUGGGCCCUGUUUGUUUAGGUAAAAAAUGGUUCGAGGAAACAUCUUUUGGCAUGGUGGUACAUUUCCAAAUCUAUCUAGCUGCUUCUGAUUUGUCCAUUGUUCGCUGCCUUGGUCAUUGCUUUUCUGCAACGGGUGCUGGAAAUGAGGGCCGAGCGAGUUUCGGAGCUUUACGAUCUUCAAAAUUGGUGAGAGACUCGAACAUUAUCUAGAAAUGAGUACUUGUUUCCUCUGUAGAAGAGUAGUGUCACUCACAAAUGUAGGGCAAAUGUUUGAAAUUUCAAGGACCCGAGUGCAUUUUCUUCAAAAUACCCAACUUCUUAUGCUUAGAUCUUUCUCUUCGCCCAAACAACACUCUUUCACAGUGUCUUACCUCAUGAACUCAUGUGGGUUGUCCCCAGAAACUGCUCUAUCUGCAUCACGGAAGAUACAGUUUGAAACCCCAGAAAGAGCAGACUCCGUCCUCGCACUGCUUAGAAAUUAUGGAUGCACCAAUAGCCAUAUCUCCAAAAUUGUAAGCCGGUAUCCGCUCCUGCUCACUGCCAAUCCUGAGAAGACCCUUUUGCCCAAACUGGAGUUUUUCUGUUCUGUAGGCUUUUCAGGGCCUGACCUUGCCAGUAUUGUCGUUGCUGGCCCACAGAUCUUGAAAAGGAGCUUGGAAAAUCAUGUUAUUCCUAGUUAUAAUUUCCUCAAGAGUGUACUUAUGGUCAACGAAAAUAUUGUGAGGGCCCUCAAUAAGUCAUACUGGCUUCAUGGUCAAAGCCUGCAAAACAUCAUGGCUCCAAAUAUUGCAAUUCUGAAAGAAAUUGGAGUUCCCAUGUCAAAUAUUUCAUUUUUGGUAACAUGUCACCCUGGCGCAGUGUCCCAAAACAAGGAAAAGUUUAGUAGAAGUGUCAAGAUGGUUAUUGAAAUGGGAUUUGAUCCUUUGAGAGUUCCAUUUGUGAAAGCUGUUCAAGUGAUCAUGGAAAUGGGUGAAUCAAUGUGGGAGCAUAAAAUGGAGGUUUAUAGGCGGUGGGGUUUGACAGAUGAUGAGAUUAUGUUGAUGUUCCGAUUGGAUCCCUUAUGUAUGAAGUCAUCGGAGAAGAAAAUAAUGAGUGUGAUGGAUUUUCUGGUUAAUAAGAUGGGUUGGAAACCUGCUGCUAUUGCUAGAUAUCCAACAGUCUUUUUGCGCAGUCUUGAGAAGAGGAUUAUUCCAUGGUGUUCAGUAGUGAAAGUUCUUCAAAUGAAGGGGUUGGUGAAGAAGGAUCUGUGUUUGAGUUUUUUAGGCUCCAAUGAGAAGAAUUUGUUCAAUAGGUUCAUGGUGAAAUAUGAGCAUGAUGUUCCUGAGCUUUUAAAUGUAUAUCAAGGAAAAAUUGGUAUUUUGGAACUUGGCUUCGUGUCUGAGGGGAUAAUGUAGGAUGAAACAGUUGUAGUUUCUCAACUUAACAAUUCCAAAUAAUUAUCCUUUCUGUCGUUUUUAUUAUUUGAGACUUGGUUUGAAGUCAUGCUAACUUCUCUUUUGCACUGUUUUUGACUUUGAUUGCUUUUGACCUUGUUUAAGAUGUAAUAUAGGAUGUCUUAAAAGUUCAUGGACACAUAUACAUUCUGGGGUGAAAAAAAAAAUGUAUAGAGGAUAACAACUAAUUAUUUUGUAUAGAUAGCCCUUGUAGACCAAAAUCCCCAUAAUAUGGUUCAUGGAGUGCUUCAGUUUAUCUACAAUCCCUUUUUUCUACAUGGGAAGUAAAUCAAAGAAGGGUCUAAAACUAUACUUUUUUUUGGCCUAACAAUAUUUGGAAUGUUGUAAAUUACUGAAGUAUUAUGAACUUGGCAUCAUUUUCCCCCUUACAUUAUAUUUGCAGUGAACUAGUGACCUGAUUUUCUACAUUAACUGAACUGAAAUUGAGUUCCUGUUGGGGGUUGUAGGAGCAUAGCUUUUAGCUUUGUUUUAAUUAGAAGGACAGCUCCAGAACAUGUGAAAUAUCCCAACUCCAAGUUGUGGGCAGUGCUAAGAUCUCCCUUUAUGGUUUAUCCUCAUGUUUUGGUCAAGAAAUAUGGCUUCCUCUGCAAAACACUUCAAUUACUACAAAUGAGAAGAAGCACCAAGGGAUUAAAUCCACCACUAAACUCUUUUUUCUUUUUUCUUUUUUAUAGGUCUAAAUCCACCAUGAACUCUGCUUUUUUUAAACCAUGUAAGUUUUCAAAUCUUUCUGAUAAUCGCCAAAUUAGGCAUCGUUCAAAGUAGCAAAAGAUGAACAAUAAUUUGUUUGGUUUUUCCCUUUCCAUCCCAUUUUUCUUUCCACCCAGAUCUCCAUAAUUUGGUUUUUCUAGUUGUUAUAGGUCCUUGAUUAAAAAUAGACAGGCAAGAAAUCUGGAUUGAUUUGCGUGUUGAACUUAUGGAAAUGAUGGUUGUGUUGUAACGUUUCUCUUACAUGUGAAAAUGAUGGUAAUUUUACAUUUCUCUUGCAUGUCUUCCCUUCUACAUUCUCCCUUUCAUUGUGGUCAAAGUUAGUACUGGGGAUACCCAAAGUUUCUUUUGAAAUGCCAAGUUUUGGGUUUUUAGUUCAAUAAAAGAGAAAUACAAAUGGGCAAGGAGAUCUCCAAAAGAUCAAGAAGGUAUAUAGAUAUUAAUUAUGUUGUAAAAAUAUCAAGAGAGCAUGUCGAGAUAGUUGCUGUAAUUCUAGCAGCAACUAGUUCAGACUUCAGAGUAAUUUCCUAAAUAAUGCCCCAUAAAACUAAAAGUUAAACAUGGUUGAGUGAUCUCAUCAUCAGAAACAACUUUUGUCUUGAAUUAUUCAUCUUUUGCAUGGCUCCUGGGGGAUCUGCUAGGUGCCUUCUUCACAUCCUCCUUCCCUGAUACUGAUAGUAGCGUUACUAGUGAGAUGAUCAAUUUACCAAAUCUUAAGCCUAUAUAUGAAAAAAAGAAGGUUGGUAGGCAGCUUGCAUUUCUGGAGUUUCAAUGGUUCUAUUUUUGGAAUAGGACCGUCUUGAGUUGUUCAAUUGUUAAAUAUCUGCUGUGGAAAGGCUUUGUAAUGAAAAAUUCUCGCUUAACUUAUAUAUUGAUAUCUGCUGAGAAUUAAUUCUUGCUUAGUUUGUGUUCAAAUGUCAGUAACAUGUUCAUCAAUUGUUCAAUUGUUCAAUGUCUGUCAGGGGAUAAUAGGUAUCUGGAUGGAAAGAACAGAAGUAAUUCAAGGUUCUCUAUAAGCUAAGAAAGGUACUGUAAGAUCAAAGGUUCUAUGGGGGCAUCAUCCUCCCAUCAUUGCUUUUACCUCGAAUUGGGUACCAAGUACUUGAUUGAUUAUUGUUGUGAUUCCCUUUAUUUUUAUUUUGCAAGGCAUUGCCUCAUUGGUUUUGCCUUGUCGUAACAUUUUCUUUUCAAGCCUGAUGCUCCAUAAUUCUGCUCUGCUGUUAUUCCAAGGCCUCUGUUCAUCCAAUGCCCCUUCAGUUCCUUCUCACAUGGAAACUUCUCAAGACCUUGGAUCUUCCCUGACAGUUCUUUCAAAGCAGAACGUGCCGUAUGCAACAUGUUGGGCCUUCUACUGAGUGACCCUGGGAAACUCCCGUUUGCCACAGAGCUUUGGUAUGAAUUGGAUGUUUCUAUUUGAUAAGGAAUACAAGGCAGCUAACCCAUUGGCAGACUUUGGAUUUUCUUUUCUAAUCUGUAAUAGUUGUUGGCUAAUGUAUUUCUACAGAGGCAGGCAACCCCACUGAGCCCCAAGUUCUAGCUUGCCUAGAGGUCUUAAAAUAAGAGUGGCGUUGGGGUCUCUUGCCUACAAAUUGCAGAAAAUGUGGUGGUUCUUCCUCAAGCAUUAUCAUUCGGGUUGGUCUAUGGUACCGAAUUUAGGGCGCUACCUUAGAAUUUUCCAUAUCAUAUUCAGACUUUAAAGCCUCUUGUCACAAGACUCACAACCAGCAAAGAAAUUAGGGUCAUGGGACUAGACGAUAACCAAUCUUUAUAAUCUAUAGGUAGAUUGAAGGGCAGAAAAUUCAUUUCUCUAUCAUAUGUAUGGAAAUUUAACUAUCAAGAUAAGUUGGUUUCUUUGCCAUUUGAUAAAUUGUGUAGUUUCAUCGCAUCUAAUUUGUGAUGUCCCACAUCGGAUAGGGGAGGAAGUUCCUGGCGCUAUAUAUGUAGAGGCUCUUCUUAACCAAGUAGACGCGUUUUAAAGCCGUGAGGGCCCUCCUUGGGCCCAAAGCGGACAAUAUCUACAUGGUUGGGUGCGGGUCGUUACAAAUGGUAUCAGAGCCGAUCCCCAACCCCGGUGUGGGGGUUUGUUUGGCUCCGUAAGGGGUGUUUGUCUGUUUGGCCCCACAAUCCCAUGGGACACAACGAGGACGUUGUGUCUGCAUGGGGGGGUGUUUGUGAUGUCCCACAUCGGAUAGGGGAGCAAGUUCCUGGCGCUAUAUAUGUAGAGACUCCUCUUAAUCAAGUAGACGUCUUUUAAAGCCGUGAGGGCCCCCUUGGGCCCAAAGCGGACAAUAUCUACAUGGUUGGGAGCGGGUCAUUACAUAAUUUGUACAUGAAAAGCAGUUCCAAAACUUUUUUCAAAGAAAAGACAUGAGGAAUGGGAAAAGAACUUCGAAGUUUUUAAGAAAAGUGAAUAAUUACAAUUAAAAGGGAUGAAAUAAUUCUCAAAUUUGUAAAUCUCAUUUCAUACCUAAUUUUUUAAAAACCUUCUUAAAAGUAUUUUGGGCAUUUACGAUCGAUAAAAUGGGCUCAUAUUCUCUAGAACAAUAUACAAACUUUCGUUACCACAUCCAACCAGAUAUGCAAAGUUUGUCCACUUAGAGAGGCUUAGAGCCAUUAUCAACCCCAUCUUUCCAUCAAAUAGAAUUGUCCCUAAAAGUAAGAAAGAAAGAACACUACUCUUUAUAAAAUCGUGUUAGAAUUUCUCUCCUUUUAAAACUAUGUAUGUAUAAAGGUUUUUCUCUAUGGGUUUUUUUCUUUGGAGAAUAUACAGAAAGAAGUUAUAGUAUUUCUCUCACAUUUCAAAACCAGGAAUGCAUGGAAAAGGGUUUUUUCUAUACGGGGCUUUCCAUGUUUGGAGAACGAGACAGAGAGAGGAGAGUCCAUAUGAAGUCUACUUGCUAGUUGCUGCCACGCAAAAGGUAUUUUAUAAUUUGAGUUCGAAUAAUUUAGUUCUUUUUUUAUUUUGUAUUUUUAAUUAAAUUAUGGCACAGAAAACAUUUUUUCCGUUUAGUAUAAAUGCAAUAAUAUUUGCUGGAGGAAAGAUAGAUUUUCCGGGCUCUGUUUGUGUAGAUAGAAAAUGGUUUGGGGAAACAUCUUUGGGCAUGGCGGUACAUUUCCAAUUCUGCCUAGCUGCUUCUGAUUUGUCGAUUGUUUGCUGCCUUGGCCAUUGCUUUUCUACUACAAAUUAGGGCUGAUCGAGCUUCGGAGCUUUACGAUCUUCAAAACUGGUGAGAGACACGAACAUUCUCUAGAAAUGAGUACUAGUUUCCUCUGUAGAAGAGUAGUGUCACUCACAAAUGUGGGCCAAAUGUUUGAAAUUUCAAGGACCCCGGUGCAUUUUCUUCAAAAUUCCCAACUUCUUAUGUUUAGAUCUUUCUUUUCGCCCAAACAACAUUCUUUCACAGUGUCUUACCUCAUGAACUCAUGUGGGUUGUCCCCAGAAAGUGCUUUAUCUGCGUCACGGAAGAUACAGUUUGAAACCCCAGAAAGAGCAGACUCCGUCCUCGCACUCCUUAGAAAUUAUGGAUGCACCAAUACCCAUAUCUCCAAAAUUGUUAGCAAAUAUCCGCUCCUGCUCACUGCCAAUCCUGAGAAGACCCUUUUGCCCAAACUAGAGUUUUUCCGUUCUGUAGGCUUUUCGGGGCCUGAUCUUGCCGGUAUUAUCGUUGCAAAGCCAAGUAUCUUGAAAAGGAGCUUGGAAAAUCAUGUUAUUCCUAAUUACAAUUUCCUCAAGAGCGUAGGUAUGAUCAAUGAAAAUAUUGCGAGGGCCCUCAGGAGGACUUACUGGCUUACUGGUCAAAGCGUGCAAAACACCAAUGUUCCAAAUAUUGCAACUCUGAAAGAAAUUGGAGUUCCCAUGUCAAAUAUUUCGUUUUUUCUGACAUGUCACCCUAGUGCAGUGUCCCAAAACAAGGAAAAGUUUAGUACAAAUGUCAAGAAGGUUAUUGAAAUGGGAUUUGACCCUUUGAGAGUUACAUUUCUGAAAGCAGUUCGCUUGAUCUGUGGAAUGGGUGAAUCAAUGUGGGAGCAUAAAAUGGAGGUUUAUAGGCGGUGGGGUUUUACAGAUGAUGAGAUUAUGUUGAUGAUCAGAUUGGAUCCCUUAUGUAUGACAUCAUCUGAGAGGAAAAUAAUGAGUGUGAUGGAUUUUUUAGUUAAUAAGAUGGGUUGGGAACCUGCAGCUAUUGGUAGAUAUCCAACAGUGUUUUUGCGCAGUCUUGAGAAGAAGAUCAUUCCAUGGUGUUCAGUAGUGAAAGUUCUUCAAAUAAAGGGGUUGGUGAAGAAGGAUCUGAGUUUGAGUUUUUUAGGC